rnacentral:rRNA from 1 species
GAUGAACGCUGGCUACAGGCUUAACACAUGCAAGUCGAGGGGAAACGACGGGGAAGCUUGCUUCCCCGGGCGUCGACCGGCGCACGGGUGAGUAACGCGUAUCCAACCUGCCUCUGACUGAGGGAUAGCCCGUCGAAAGUCGGCCUAAUACCUCAUGGCAUCGUCUGCGGGCAUCCAACGACGAUUAAAGAUUUCAUCGGUCAGGGAUGGGGAUGCGUCUGAUUAGCUUGUUGGCGGGGUAACGGCCCACCAAGGCUACGAUCAGUAGGGGUUCUGAGAGGAAGGUCCCCCACAUUGGAACUGAGACACGGUCCAAACUCCUACGGGAGGCAGCAGUGAGGAAUAUGGGUCAAUGGGCGGGAGCCUGAACCAGCCAAGUAGCGUGCAGGAUGACGGCCCUAUGGGUUGUAAACUGCUUUUAUGCGGGGAUAAAGUGAGGGACGUGUCCUUCAUUGCAGGUACCGCAUGAAUAAGGACCGGCUAAUUCCGU